rnacentral:rRNA from 1 species
GCUGGUGGCAUGCCUUAUACAUGCAAGUCGAGCGGGAUCCAAAGAGCUUGCUUUUUGGUGAGAGCGGCGAACGGGUGAGUAACAGGUGAGCAAUCUGCCCCCCAGUUGGGGAUAGCCCUCCUAACGGAGGAUUAAUACCGAAUAUAGUAUAGCAUUGGAUGGUGCCUAUACGAAAGGCUUCGGCCGCUGGGGCAUGAGCUCGCUUAAGAUUAGCUAGUUGGUGAGGUAAUGGCUCACCAAGGCUUCGAUCUUUAGCCGGCCUGAGAGGGUGAUCGGCCACAUUGGGACUGAGAUACGGCCCAGACUCCUACGGGAGGCAGCAGUAGGGAAUAUUGCACAAUGGACGAAAGUCUGAUGCAGCAAUGCCACGUGUGGGAUGACACUUUUCGGAGCGUAAACCACUGUCAACUGGGAAUAAUAGCAUAGUAGCCCUAUGUUUGAAGGUACCAGUAAAGGAAGCACCGGCUAACUUCGUGCCAACAGCCGCGGUAACACGAGGGGUGCAAGCGUUGUUCGGAAUCACUGGGCGUAAAGAGUUCGUAGGCGGGAUAUCAAGUCAGAUGUUUAAAGCAGGGGCCUAACCCCCGUUCGGCAUUUGAAACUGGUAUUCUUGAGUAGGUCAGAGGUUAACGGAAUUCCUAGUGUAGCGGUGGAAUGC